rnacentral:rRNA from 1 species
GAUGAACGCUGGCGGCGUGCCUAAUACAUGCAAGUCGAGCGAAUGGAUUAAGAGCUUGCUCUUAUGAAGUUAGCGGCGGACGGGUGAGUAACACGUGGGUAACCUGCCCAUAAGACUGGGAUAACUCCGGGAAACCGGGGCUAAUACCGGAUAACAUUUUGAACCGCAUGGUUCGAAAUUGAAAGGCGGCUUCGGCUGUCACUUAUGGAUGGACCCGCGUCGCAUUAGCUAGUUGGUGAGGUAACGGCUCACCAAGGCAACGAUGCGUAGCCGAACUGAGAGGGUGAUCGGCCACACUGGGUCUGAGACACGGCCCAGACUCCUACGGGAGGCAGCAGUAGGGAAUCUUCCGCAAUGGACGAAAGUCUGACGGAGCAACGCCGCGUGAGUGAUGAAGGCUUUCGGGUCGUAAAACUCUGUUGUUAGGGAAGAACAAGUGCUAGUUGAAUAAGCUGGCACCUUGACGGUACCUAACCAGAAAGCCACGGCUAACUACGUGCUAGCCGCCGCAGUAA